AUGGUUUUGCGCCGUGCUGGGCGAGUUGGGAGCAUCUGGCGAGGCGCGAGCGGCACAAGGGGUCCGACAGUGACACUGUGCGGGUGCACAAGGGACUGGGAUCUAUCGUCUGGAGGUCGUGCAGUGGCACGGGGAGGUGCUGCUGUUGGUGCGGCAUGGUGGAGCAGUCUUGUGGUGAUGGAGCACGGCUGCAUCUUUGUCCGUCGAAUCUGCUGUCUCUGUCCUCCGGUGGGCACGCGUAUGGAGCUUGGACGUGGCUGGAAACCGAGGUGGUUCUUGCCCUCGGGUUGCACACCUCUGGUCACUCGCCGGCAUGGUUCUCGGCAAGGCAUGGUGGUUUGUGCUGUGUCCGAUGGCCUGGCUUCCGGUCGACGGUUGACAGAUUUAACGGCUGGCGCUGCAUGUGGCCGCCCGUUGGCCUCCGCAAGGUGUGGUUGGUCUCUCCGGCGGCGGGCUUCUUUGACUUCGGUGGAGUUGUUGAUGGCGGUGCGGGUAGGAUGUUUGGAAGCUUUGGUGAAGACCCUGUAUGUCUUGGCUUCGGUAGGUGACCGGUGA
rnacentral:rRNA from 1 species